rnacentral:rRNA from 1 species
UACGGGGGGGGCAAGCGUUGUUCGGAAUUACUGGGCGUAAAGGGCGCGUAGGCGGUUUGCUAAGUUGAAUGUGAAAACUCUGGGCUUAACCCAGAGCCUGCAUUCAAUACUGGCAGGCUAGAGUUCUGGAGGGGAUAGCGGAAUUCCUGGUGUAGCGGUGAAAUGCGUAGAUAUCAGGAGGAACACCGGUGGCGAAGGCGGCUAUCUGGACAGAGUCUGGACGCUGAGGCGCGAAAGCCUAGGGGAGCAAACAGG